GCCGGGGUGGCGGAAUGGCAGACGCGCUGGACUCAAAAUCCAGUGUCCGCAAGGAUAUGUGGGUUCGACUCCCACCCCCGGCA
rnacentral:tRNA from 1 species